rnacentral:rRNA from 1 species
GAAACAGAUGCUAAUACCGCAUAAGAUUACAGUACCGCAUGAUACAGUGAUCAAAGGAGCAAUCCGCUGAAAGAUGGGCUCGCGUCCGAUUAGAUAGUUGGUGAGGUAACGGCUCACCAAGUCGACGAUCGGUAGCCGGACUGAGAGGUUGAACGGCCACAUUGGGACUGAGACACGGCCCAGACUCCUACGGGAGGCAGCAGUGGGGAAUAUCGCACAAUGGGCGAAAGCCUGAUGCAGCAACGCCGCGUGAGGGAAGACGGUUUUCGGAUUGUAAACCUCUGUUUUCGGUGACGAACAAAUGACGGUAACCGAGUAGGAAGCCACGGCUAACUACGUGCCAGCAGCCGCGGUAAUACGUAGGUGGCAAGCGUUAUCCGGAAUUACUGGGUGUAAAGGGAGCGCAGGCGGGAUAGCAAGUCAGCUGUGAAAACUAUGGGCUCAACCCAUAAACUGCAGUUGAAACUGUUAUUCUUGAGUGGAGUAGAGGCAAGCGGAAUUCCGAGUGUAGCGGUGAAAUGCGUAGAUAUUCGGAGGAACACCAGUGGCGAAGGCGGCUUGCUGGGCUCUAACUGACGCUGAGGCUCGAAAGUGUGGGGAGCAAACAGGAUUAGAUACCCUGGUAGUCCACACUGUAAACGAUGAUUGCUAGGUGUGGGGGGUCUGACCCCCUCCGUGCC